rnacentral:ncRNA from 3 species
UAUUGCACUCGUCCCGGCCUC